GACGGGGGGGGCAAGUGUUCUUCGGAUUUACUGGGCGUAAAGGGCGCGUAGGCGGCGUGACAAGUCACUUGUGAAAUCUCUGAGCUUAACUCAGAACGGCCAAGUGAAACUGUUGUGCUAGAGUGCAGAAGGGGCAAUCGGAAUUCUUGGUGUAGCGGUGAAAUGCGAAGAUAUCAAGAGGAACACCUGAGGUGAAGACGGGUUGCUGGGCUGACACUGACGCUGAGGCGCGAAAGCCAGGGGAGCAAACGGG
rnacentral:rRNA from 1 species